AGAUGCAUUUCGCAGAUGUCAGUGACAGUACUGACAGUUUUUUUUUAAGAAAUCAGAUAUGACGUGCAAAGGUAUUUUGUUGUUCAACCGUACCAAUGACGUCAUUUGGCGCUUAAGUCAUUUUAGAAUGAUCAGAAUUAAAAACCAAGUUUUAUAAAUGAAAAUGACCACAUUUUCAAAAAUAAAAAAGAUGGGUCCCCUAAUUUAACCCCUA